rnacentral:lncRNA from 1 species
CUCCUAUAUAUAUGAGAGAGAGAGAGAGAGAGAGAGAGAGAGAGAGAGAGACUCAGGACACUAGGAAGUGGUUUUCUUUAUCCCUUACAAAUCCCUUGGACCAGUCUAAGGUAGAUCUUGAACCUGCUCUUUAUCCUUCUGGCUUAAUUCAGCUCAAACCAGGAUUAGAGAUAUUUUUUCCCUCUCCUGUCACAGUGUGAACUCAGGAUGGAUGGCCAUGUGAAUAUUCCCAUCUGGGUAUGCGGCUCUCUGCCACUCCCACAUUGAUGCACAUGCAUGAUGGACUCUGGACUGCCUGGGCUCUUGCCAUCUGUUGGAUGGCACAAAGCCCACUUCCCUAGCUUUUGAUUAUCCUAAUGGCCGGAAUGUCCUCCAGACCACUUAGUGAAGUCUUGUUGGAUUUUCAAAGCAUAUAGUACAGAGAAAAUAGAAGGGAGUAUGACAUAUUUGAUAAUUAAUGUGCAUGUUAUAAUUAUUUAUUAUUAAUUGCAUUUAUAUAUCACCCUUCAUCCAAGGAUCACAGGGCAGUUUACAGCAUAAAAACAUGUGUAGAACUCAAAGGUUUUUCACUUGUACUUAAAGAGUCUGUUACUUCUUGUUUAUGGAUUGACUUUUGUUCUUGCUGCUUCACGUGUUAUUCUGUCCAUAAAACCCUGUGUGAGUCCAUAGAUAUUCCAUAGGAUGCAGCAGUAGCAUGACCAUGUUCUGUGCUGUUCUCUAAUGUAUAUAAGAGUCCAGUUUAUAAUGUAUAUAAGAGUCUAAUGUAUAUAAGAGUCCAGAGGAACUACUGGUGUGAAUUUGCAUCAGUUCUGUCCUACCAAGCUUGACUUUACCAUGUGGUAUCAAGAGUACUUCUUGUUUGAUUCCAUCUGUCCAAUAUACUUACACUUAAUGAGAAAAAUUCACUCAUAAUAUAAGAAGAGCCCUGCUGGGUUAGACCAAAGGCUCACUGAGUCCAGCAUCCUUGACAAAAUCCAGAGUAAAUGCAUAUUCCAAUCAUGAUAAAGAGGUAAAAUUUAUAGGCAGCCUAACUGACUGCACCUUAGAAUAGUUGGUCAUGGAACGACCGGAGAGGAGGCAACCCUGGGACUCAGCUACAUUCGUCACAAUAAUACAUUUUGAAUGUGUUCUAAACAUCCAACAACAGAUGGUGCCAGAGAGCAAAAAGGAGUUUAUAUGGAUUUUUAUAUAAGCUUUUAUUUUUAUUUUGUUGUAACAAUUUAAUUUCUGACUUUUUUAUAGUGUUUUUAUCCUGUGCCCUGGACUUAAUAUGGAGGAGUGCCCAGAACCAGGUAUGAGAUGUAAGGGCUAUAUCCAAUAUUAGUCAUACUAAUACUAAUACUAAUACUAAUACUAAUACUAAUAAUUCUUAUUUAUACCCUGCCCUCCCCAGCCAAGGCUGGGCUCAGAGCGGCUUACAAGCAAUAAUAAAAACAAGUUGAAUGAUUACAACUUAAAAACAAUAUUAAAAUACAACAAUUAAAAUAUUGAAACAUUAAAAUAUUAAAAUGUGGCCUCAUCGCAGGAGGAGAAGGAAAGGAAAAAAAGAAAGAGGGAGGGAAUCAAAUUGGCUCCAAGUCUUACAGGCCCUGCGGAAAGAAAUCAGAUCCUGCAGGGCCCUGGUCUCGUGAGGCAGAGCGUUCCACCAGGCCGGAGCCAGUGUUGAAAAGGCCCUGGCUCUGGGUGAAGCCAAUCUAACUUCCUUAGGGCCCGGGACCACUAGGGUGUUGCUCUUUAUGGACCUUGAGGCUCUCCGUGGGGCAUACCGGGAGAGGCGGUCUUGUAGGUAUGAGGGUCCUAGGCCGUGAAGGGCUUUAAAGGUCAAAAGCAGCACCUUAAAUCUAAGGUGAAACAUGGGGUGUUAGGAGAGAGGCAGUACUUUGGGUGGGGGAGCCGUCAUGCUUCUGGGGGUAGUUUGUCCACCUUUGGUCCCCAACCUGCAGUCAGCUCUCUCCUGUGGCUCCUAGAAGCUGUCAGCAUGUGACAGCGGCCAUGUCCAGGGAAUGACUUGGACUGGCCAGCUAAACCAAGUGAGGGUAGCUGAUGGGUCUCAAACCUUCAAUGACUUAAGGACUUCCCCUGCAUGUGAAAACAACCUCCGGUGGAUUGAGCGGAUGAGACCAAUAGUGGGUCCAACGGCCAAGAAAGCAGUUUCUGCACGUGCUGUAGAGGGAAGUGAGGGGCAGAUGGGGCUCGUUAACCUGGGAAGGUAGUCCAUCUAAAAGAAGGAAAACACUGAUCCUAAACCUCUGCUGCCUUGGGCCUCCCAUAUCUAUUUGGGAGAAGAGAUGGCUAAGGAGUAAACCCUACACAAAUCAGGAGUGGAGUCACUAAGGUGGCUAGAUAGCGCCUUGUAUGUUUUCUUUCAGCAACUCCUGCAACCAAGUUGGUGCCAAAUGUAUUGCUUUCCGAGGGGCGUGUGUGUCUUUUCAUCAGGGCAGCCCAGGACCUCCAUACAACACGGAGAGGUAACUUCAGUGCUGCGAACACAGUGGUGUGACUUCACCCCUGGGAGUGCAGUCCAUUGACUUUCGAGACAGUUGGAUAACAACAAGAAGUCAUUCUCAUAGAGUGAUUUAGCAUAUGCCAUUGUAUAGUGAUGCACACUGGGGCAAAAAGCCACACACUGUAUGUGGUUACAGAGUCUGAAUUGGUAGUGACUAAACAUCUAAAAGGUCUUGGAGUCAUUGUAGAUAGCUCAGUGAAAAUGUCAACUCAGUGUGUGGCAGCUGUAAAAAUGGGUAAUUUCAUAUUGGGAAUAACAAGGACUGGGGGUGAAAAUAAAACUGCCAGUAUCAGUGCUGUUAUACAAGUCUGUGGUUCAAUUGCAUUUGUGCAUAGUUUUGGUCACUGCAACUCAGAAAGAUUAUUGUAGAGCUGGAGCAGGAUCAGAAAAGGGCAACCAGAAUGACCAAGGGGCUGAAGAAAAUGACCAAUGGUUUGGAUAGGGGAAAAGGUGUGUAAGGGGGUAUGUGAAACAUUGACUAUGCAUAUUGUGGAGAAAGUGGAGGGAGAAAGUUUCCUGACUGUUGGAAGAUUCAGGCAGACAAAAGGAAGUAGUACUUCACACAACACAUAACUAAACUGUGGGAAAAUGUUGUAAUAGCUGUCAACUUGGAUGGUGACUCUAAAUUUUGUCUUUCAUACAGACGGUCAGUUCUGUGAUCAACUGUUGUAGAAAUUUCAAUUCUUUGUAAAGACCAGAGCAUGCAUUUACCCAGUAUGAGCAUAACUGAAGUCAUCUAGUACAAGAACGCAUCUUCCUUUGGAUGCCUCUUUGAUAAUCGUAGGUGUUUUGGUCAGUGUAGUGGUAGUGUAAAUGCAUACCAGAUGCUAAAUUUUAUUUGAAGCAGACCUGUUGAAAUAAAUGUACACGAUUAAGUUAGGGCAAUUAAUUUCGAUAGGUCUCUCUGAGGAAAAUUUAGUUGAAUACCAGCUUAAAUUAUUUUUAGGGUGUGACAGCAGCAUUCCCAGUCAGUAAUUCUGCCACUUUGGGGAUUUCUACUUCGUAUGACUCUUAAUGCUUUUGAUGAACAGAGCAACAUCCAGACCUUCAUCCAGCGUUUGUAUCCAUCACCAUAUCCUACUAGUUCUAUCAAUUCCAACAAGCUUCUGUAAUGCCCACUACAUCUUUGGACUCCUUUUUAAGAACGAUCACCCCACUAAAACUCUGCCUUGAGUCCUCGUCAGGGAAAAAGGGGUAUAAAUAAUUGUAUAAUGGUAACGAAGAUGUGGGUGGCGCUGUGGUCUAAACCACUGAGCUUCUUGGACUUGUCGAUCAGAAGGUUGGCGGUUCGAAUCCCCACGACAGGGUGAGCUCCCGUUGCUCGGUCCCAGCUCCUGCCAACCUAUCAGUUCAAAAGCACAUCAAAGUGCAAGUAGAUAAAUAGGUACCGCUCCGGCAGGAAGGUAAACAGCGUUUCCGUGCUCUGGUUUCGCCAGAAGCAGCCUAGUCAUGCUGACCACAUGACCUGGAAAAACUGUCUGCGGACAAACGGCUGCUCCCUCGGCCUGUAAAGCGAAAUGAGCACCGCAACCCAAGAGUCAUCUGCGACUGGACUUAACUGUCAGGGGUCCUUUACCUUUAAUGAUGAUGACGAAAAAACAACAACAGUGUUUUAGUUUAUAGUGAUGUUUAAGAGAAGCUUAUCUAACUGUCCUGUGCUAUUUUAAAAUGCGGAAUCUUGAUUGUUUUGUAAUGUUGCAAACCGCUUAGCGACUUUUUUGUAAUAUGAAGCAAGAUAUAAAUUACCUCAACAAGAACAACAGCUGCUCCCGAUGUGUGAAUUUUCCUCUGUGGUCUCUUUGAAUGCCUUCCAUGUCCCCAUGCACCUUCACCACCUAGAUCUAUGCUGCACCUAUUGAACAAUAAUAAAUUCCCUAAGGAUGAUUUAUUUGAACCAGAAGUUUCCCACAGUGAUUAGUUUAAAAGCUGCUCUGCCACUUUUUAAAAUUUCAAGUGCCAAUACUAUGAUUGCACUCCGGUUCAUGUUCAGCCUACCCAUUUUGUAUGGACCCAGCUUGUCCUUAGUGCCUGACAAAUCCAAAACAUGCCUUCUGGAUACCAUUGUCUUAUCUACCUUUCUCCAUACCAAUGGCUUGAGCUGAGUUACAGAUGCAAUAAAACAAGCACAAUAAAUUGAACAUGAAAGCACUGAAACUAGACCUAGAACAGUAAAAUACUUGAGGCUGGAGCUAUUUAAACCAGCAUAAAAAAGUAAAGGCACUCAUAAGGACUGAGUUGAUAUUGUCUUUAAAUUAACCAUCAAGCAAUCGUAGAGGAAGGCAGUUAUGCUUCUGAAUACCAGUUGUUGGAAACCGCAGUGGGGAAGAGUGCUCUCAUGUUUGGGUCCUUGCAGUUUCCCCCCAAGCAUCUGCACAGCCAUUGUGAGAACAACAAACUAGACCAGAUGGACCUGAUCCAGCAAACUCUUCUAACAUGAUUACUAUUGUGUGGGAGGGAAAAGUAGGGGUAUGCUCCUGGCCCCAACCCCUCCAUCAUUCUUCAUCACUGUUCUUGCCUCCCAUGUGUCAGGGGCUGAACUUCUGCAAUAGUGUUAUCAGCUGUACUUGUGUAUUCUCCCCACAAUUGAGUACAUGGAAGUUAUGCUAGGGGUGAUGGUGCAACACUGGAGCAGGUGGGGCCUCAGAGGGCACCCCCAGUCUUUUCUUCACACCAGUUAAAUAUGGAGGGACCACCUGAAUAGGGCUCUAGUUUAAUCACUGUGCUGCCCUGAACUUAGUUGUGUCUUGGUUUUCUGUUCCUCUUCUGUCCUAGUUGGAGAGACCAUAAAUUUCUCAGUUAGCUUCGUAGCUGUUGUGUGCUCUGAGGAUUCCAUGGCAAAGUAACCUUUCAGUUCUUGGUAACAGAGUACAUAAGAACAGUAGGUGAAGUUCUGUAUUCGAGGGCAAAGUACUGGGUGUACUUUGCUUAAAUCUACAGUGAUUGCAAGUAAAUAUUUUGUCCUGCAAUAAAUGUGGGUCUCAGAUAGAGAUGGGGGGAAGAUUUAAAUCAGUUUGCAUUUAAAGUCAAAACUCUCUGAUUUUGCACCUACUCAAACAAAAGUACAAUCGUCCUUCAAAAUUUGCGUUUUUUAAAAUUUUGCAAUUCAGUUCUCCAGUCAAACAGGGAGGGAUCAUCACAGACCACAGCAAGCAGAUGAAGCAAUGGGC